rnacentral:misc_RNA from 1 species
CGGCAUUGAUGGAACCGCCAUCGUGUUCCGCCAAAACCAACGUGCUAGCAGAUCGACAUGCGGAGGAGGAGAAGAGCGGGAGUAAUUGAGAAGACAAUGGAAGAAUCGAUCUCUUCAAAGCAGUAAAUACUGUUCGGGUGAUCAUGUUGAUGGAUCUUCUCUCUCUCUCUCUGAAACUCCGGAAGAGGGCGGUGGAAAUAGGACGGAGACGGCGACGGCGGAGAUAAUCCCUUCAAUGGAAUUGGAGGUGUGAAAGAGGAAUACGGCACUGCUCCAGCGAUUGAAACGGUGCGUUUAAAACGCC